rnacentral:rRNA from 1 species
AUACCCUGGUAGUCCACGCCGUAAACGAUGUCUACUAGUCGUUGGGUCCCUUGAGGACUUAGUGACGCAGCUAACGCAAUAAGUAGACCGCCUGGGGAGUACGGCCGCAAGGUUAAAACUCAAAUGAAUUGACGGGGGCCCGCACAAGCGGUGGAGCAUGUGGUUUAAUUCGAUGCAACGCGAAGAACCUUACCUGGUCUUGACAUAUCUAGAAUCCUGCAGAGAUGCGGGAGUGCCUUCGGGAAUUAGAAUACAGGUGCUGCAUGGCUGUCGUCAGCUCGUGUCGUGAGAUGUUGGGUUAAGUCCCGCAACGAGCGCAACCCUUGUCCUUAGUUACCAGCGGGUUAAGCCGGGAACUCUAAGGAUACUGCCAGUGACAAACUGGAGGAAGGCGGGGACGACGUCAAGUCAUCAUGGCCCUUACGACCAGGGCUACACACGUGCUACAAUGGUAGGUACAGAGGGCAGCUACACAGCGAUGUGAUGCGAAUCUCAAAAAGCCUAUCGUAGUCCAGAUUGGAGUCUGCAACUCGACUCCAUGAAGUAGGAAUCGCUAGUAAUCGCGGAUCAGAAUGCCGCGGUGAAUACGUUCCCGGGCCUUGUACACACCGCCCGUCACACCAUGGGAGUUGRUUGCACCAGAAGUGGAUAGCCUAAC